rnacentral:lncRNA from 10 species
GCAGACAGAAAAAUGUGAAAAGAGAGACUGGCUUAGCUUCCCAGCCUACAAUUUUCUCCCAUGUUGGAUGCUUCCUGCCCUGGAAUAUCGAACUCCAAGUUCUUCAGUUUUGGAACUCGAACUGAUUCUCCUUGUUUCUCACUGGGCAGACAACCUAUUGUGGGGCCUUGUGAUUACGUUUUUUGCACGUCUGAUGACCUAUGGCUCCACCUGGACCCAACAACCAUGCCUGUGACCUCACCUGUGACCAGCACUACAGAAGGACCAUUUCUCACACCCAUAUGAUUGCACCCCCAAUCAAUCAGCAGCAAACACCCAUUGCUCUAUCCACUCCCACCCCUUCCCCCAAACUACCUUUGAAAAAUCCUGCCCCAAAAUGCUCUAGCAGGCUGAUUUGAGUCAGAAUAAAAUACCAGUCUUCCGUUAGCUGGCUCUACGUGUAAAAAUCUCUCUAUUGCAAUUCCCCUGCCUUGAUAAAUUGGCUUCAUCUGGGCAGCAUGCAAGAAUGUAAUCAUUGGGUGGUUACAUUAGGAGGUCCUGUUUUCUACUUUAUAAUCCUUCUGAUUUCUGUAAAAUUGGAAGAAACGUCCCCUCUUUCAUUUCUUAUUUUAGUUAUUUAAUUCUUCUCUCAUUUUUUCUUAAUGUAGCUAAAGAUUUGUAAAUUUUGAUCUUUUUAAA